rnacentral:rRNA from 1 species
GAUGAACGCUGGCGGCGUGCCUAAUACAUGCAAGUCGAGCGAACAGACGAGGAGCUUGCUCCUCUGACGUUAGCGGCGGACGGGUGAGUAACACGUGGAUAACCUACCUAUAAGACUGGGAUAACUUCGGGAAACCGGAGCUAAUACCGGAUAAUAUAUUGAACCGCAUGGUUCAAUAGUGAAAGACGGUUUUGCUGUCACUUAUAGAUGGAUCCGCGUCGCAUUAGCUAGUUGGUAAGGUAACGGCUUACCAAGGCAACGAUGCGUAGCCGACCUGAGAGGGUGUUCGGCCACACUGGAACUGAGACACGGUCCAGACUCCUACGGGAGGCAGCAGUAGGGAAUCUUCCGCAAUGGGCGAAAGCCUGACGGAGCAACGCCGCGUGAGUGAUGAAGGUCUUCGGAUCGUAAAACUCUGUUAUUAGGGAAGAACAAAUGUGUAAGUAACUAUGCACGUCUUGACGGUACCUAAUCAGAAAGCCACGGCUAACUACGUG